rnacentral:rRNA from 1 species
CCGACACAGGUGGAUGAGGAGAGAAUCCUAAGGCCGGCGGAAGAAGUAUUGUUAAGGAACUCGGCAAAAUGACCCCGUAACUUCGGGAGAAGGGGUGCCCACGGGAGUGGGCCGCAGAGAAUAGGCUCAAGCAACUGUUUAGCAAAAACACAGGUCUAUGCGAAACCGAAAGGUGAAGUAUAUGGGCUGACGCCUGCCCGGUGCUGGAAGGUUAAGAGGAGAGGUUAGCGCAAGCGAAGCUUUGAAUUUAAGCCCCAGUAAACGGCGGCCGUAACUAUAACGGUCCUAAGGUAGCGAAAUUCCUUGUCGGGUAAGUUCCGACCCGCACGAAAGGCGUAAUGAUUUGAGCACUGUCUCGACAAUGCAUCCGGUGAAAUUGAAGUACCAGUGAAGAUGCUGGUUACCCGCGCCAGGACGGAAAGACCCCAUGGAGCUUUACUCCAGUUUGGUACUGGGAUUCGGUACUGCACGUACAGGAUAGGUGGGAGACUUUGAAACUUGAACGCCAGUUUGAGUGGAGUCGCUGUUGGGAUACCACCCCUGCAGUAUUGGAUUUCUAACCAGUCACCGUGAUCCGGUGAUGGGACAAUGCCAGGCGGGGAGUUUGACUGGGGCGGUCGCCUCCGAAAGGGUAUCGGAGGCGCUCAAAGGUUCCCUCAGAAUGGUCGGAAACCAUUUGAAGAGUGCAAAGGCAGAAGGGAGCUUGACUGCGACACCGACGGGUGGAGCAGGUAGGAAACUAGGACUUAGUGAUCCGGUGGCAUAAAGUGGGAUUGCCAUCGCUCAACGGAUAAAAGCUACCCUGGGGAUAACAGGCUUAUCACUCCCAAGAGUUCACAUCGACGGAGUGGUUUGGCACCUCGAUGUCGGCUCAUCGCAUCCUGGGGCUGUAGCAGGUCCCAAGGGUUGGGCUGUUCGCCCAUUAAAGCGGUACGCGAGCUGGGUUCAGAACGUCGUGAGACAGUUCGGUCCCUAUCCGGCGCGGGCGGAGGAUAUUUGAGAGGAGCUGUCCUUAGUACGAGAGGACCGGGAUGGACGGACCACUGGUGUAUCUGCUGUCGGCCAACGGCAUGGCAGAGUAGCCAAGUCCGGAAGGGAUAAACGCUGAAGGCAUCUAAGCGUGAAGCCCCCCUCAAGAUGAGAUAUCCCUCACAUAAGUGGGUAAGAUCCCUUGAAGACUACAAGGUAGAUAGGGCAGAGGUGGAAGUGUGGCAACACAUGGAGCUGACUGUUACUAAUCGAUCGAGGGCUUGACCAA